CCUUUUUUUUUUGUGGAACCUGUAAACAAACCCACCCAGCUUUUUUUCACGUUCUUUCUCUCCUCUCCUCACGCCUCAACCUCCACAAAUCAUUCUAAAAGUUUAAUUGGAUCUAUACUUUCGUUGUUCCCUCUUUGUUGUUCUCUCUCAAAGGUUAAAAUGUCGCAUGUCUUGGGUUACAAUCUUACAUAUGAUGUUGAAGGGAGAUACAUUUCAUUGCAACAAGUUUUAGCUUGGCAACAUAUCUUCAUGAGGAAUAUGUUAUUAUUUGAUUAGUAUUUAAGAGAAUAGAUUGGAACUUAAAUUAUGUAUAUGAUAUUGAAAUUGGGUAUGUUUUCCCUUAUUAGUAGUUAUUGAUUGAGCAGUUAUUAUGCUUA